rnacentral:rRNA from 1 species
UAGUAUGGGGAUCUGCCCGAUAGAGGGGGAUAACUACUGGAAACGGUGGCUAAUACCGCAUAAUGUCUACGGACCAAAGCAGGGGCUCUUCGGACCUUGCACUAUCGGAUGAACCCAUAUGUGAUUAGCUAGUAGGUGGGGUAAAGGCUCACCUAGGCGACGAUCUCUAGCUGGUCUGAGAGGAUGAUCAGCCACACUGGGACUGAGACACGGCCCAG